rnacentral:sRNA from 1 species
GACCAUUCCCAAAAAUCGCCUGAGUUG